UCUAUCAUUAAAGGAGGACACUCCUUCAAGCGAAACAGGUUUUAGUAGGAAGAACACUUUUUCAAAAGCUCCCAGACAUAGCAUAUACAGCCUUAUUUGACUCGGGAAUAGGACAAUGAACAACAUUUGGCACAAUAAGUAACUUACUCAAGGAUUCAUGUCAACAAGACUUUAAGUUUGGAGAAGAGAACCACCACAAGACCCAGAGUGAGGAACAGCAUGAGAAGAAUCAAGAUGCCGGCCCCUCUGAGGGUCAGAAUCAUAACAAUUGCCAUCCUCAUCAACCUCUAACGAAUUCAGAACAACCACGUGGAAUCAACUGUGUCUGUAAAUAGCAGUAAGUAAAGCUAGUGGAAUUAAAAUGGCCUACUAGAAAGUAUUCAGUCGACUAGUUUGUCUUAAAGUUUUGAGAUUUCAAAAUCGUACUAAUUGCCACCUGUGAACAUGGUAUGAUAUCAUGUCAUAUAUAUUGUUAUCGCUUUAUUCUAAUCUCCUCACAACAGCGGUGGUCCCAUUUCAGGCUGGGGUGGCGGGUGUGGAUAUACAUCCUCAUCUAGGCUUCAUCUCAAUAGGAUCAUCUCCAGACUGUGUUCAGGCAGCUCUACCUCAUACCGAUGGCUCUUCCUCACAGCAUUCACCUCAACACCAGCUUCUUCAAUGAUGCAGUCAUAACAUCAGGUAUGAAAAGUUCCAGUAGCCUUGGAAGAAGAGAUUAAGUGAAGGAAGAGGCUGCUUUUGAAAACAUUUCUGCUGCUAUUUUCUGCUGCUUUUAAGAUGUAUGUAUGUAUGUAUGUAUGUAUGUAUGUAUGUGUGUGUGUGUGUGUGUGUGUGAAUAAGCAUGUGUGUGUGUGUGUGUGUAUAAGCAUGUGUGUUUGUGUGUAUAAGCAUAUGUGUGUGUGUGUGUGUGUGUGUGUGUGUGUGUGUGUGUGUGUGUGUGUGUGUGUGUGUGUGUGUGUGUGUGUGUGUGUGUGUGUGUAUAAGCAUGUGUGUGUGUGUGUACGUGUGUGUGUGUGGUAGCUAGGAAAUGUAUGUUUUUGUAUUUAAGUAAAUAUUUGCUAUUACUUAUGCAGUGAGAUGGCCUUUUCAUGUUCCAAUCAAAAUCAUAAAACACCAAGAGUGCUUUGGUGAUUCCACUCUGGUUGCAGAUAAUAUUUUUUUCUGAUAGAUUAGUUAGCCUUCAAAAUUCAUUACAUAUGAGCAGGAACUAGCCAUAAUAUUAUUGCCUUGAUCACACUGACAGCAUCAUUGUGCAUUGUCUAGAUAUGUGUGCAACAAAAGUUCACCUUCUGCUACCAUUUUUGUCAAGCCGUCUACACAUACAGUUUGACUCAUACGUUGAUAAAUCCAAUGUAUGCACCACACAGAACGCACUGCAACUGCCUCUGCAACGCAAUGCUGGAAGUCAAACGCAGCAUUCCAUUGGAAAUGAAUGUACUUCUGGUGUACUAAAACGCAAUGAAGCUGUUGGUGUGACUGAGGCAUUUUAAGUUGGAUUUAUCGAAGAUAUGCGUCAAACUGUAUGCAUAGAGGGCUUGACAGAAAGGGUAGCAGAAGGUGAAUGUUGAAGUUGUAUCUUUAAUCUCAGUUUUAGAUCUAUGAUAGAUCAGUCUUUACCACUUUACCACCGUUGGGCUUGUGAGGGAGAUCACCAUUAGGGUGGUACAUCUAGGCAUAGUAGUACCGAAUUCUGUGAGACUCUGCAUUACUAUAAAGUAUACUGUAAAUGUCACACCUGCUCCCGAUCCCCCUCUCUGGUGCUCAAUGUCACCAGCGCACUCAUCAUUACACACACCUGCGCUUAAUUAUGGGACUCACCUGGACUCCAUCACAUCAUUUACCUCCCCUAUAUCUGUCACUUCCUCAGAUUCAUUCCAGAGUCAGCAUUGAUGCUGUUAUGUUUCUCCUGUUCAG